CAGAAUUAUCAGACUGAGGACAGAAACACACCAGCUCUGAGAAAUGGCUCAGACUCUAUAUUUCCCUCUUCUCCUCAUUGCUCUCUGCUCCAUAUCUGAAUGUGUUCAGCGUCAGUAUCACUUUAUAAAUGA
rnacentral:lncRNA from 1 species